AGAUGAACAAUGUAUUUAUUGCAUGUGGUGCCAAGUUUGUAAAGACUAUUAAUGUAGAAUAGCCUAUUUUCUGCUCUGUUUUUCCAAUCUAUUAAAUAUAUAAUCAUCUACGUAUAGGGUCUGCCUCACCUUAGUCCAUAAAUUCUUUGCCUUAUUUAUGUCUGCAUUUACUUGUACAGCUGGUAAGUCAUUUGUUCAAAAGAAGUAAAUGGUUGGUUUUGAUCCCUAGACUGUGAAACAGGGAUUCACAAAACGGUUAUGCAUCUAAUAAAUUGACUCUUAAAUAUUGGGAACAACUUCAAGAAUUUGAUUUGACCAUCUAAAUUAAUGCUAAAUAUAUUUUGUUCUGCACUCUUGAUAGUAUUUUACUGUUGAAAGGUUUAGUUAUAGGAAUGCCUAGGAGCACCUUCCCCCCCCCACAUUGGCCUCUCCUCUUGUUAAAUGUGCAAUACUACACAGGUAAAUCCAAUACUUAACUAUGACUCUUAAAAACCGUCAUCCAAAUAUCUUGUAUUCUUGGUGUUAUUCUCCAAGAUUUACCAAGACUUCACCUUAAAUGCUUUGGCUGUGGGAUCGGCAUAUGCUGUUCUCAGGAUUGCUUCAAUAUAAAUGAACUGUAAAUCUGGCCUUCUGAUGCUGUCAUGCAUAAAAUACCUGGUAGAUGAUUCCUAACAGGUGUAAGGCCAGAUCCUGAGACCUUGGUUCAUACAACUCAGAUCAACAACAGUAGUUAAUUAUUACCAAUUGAAGCAAGAGCUACAGUUUGGUGUGCAGUUUGCAUGUGGGCUUCAGAUACUGCUAAAUGCUUCAUCUGUAAUAAUGAUUCCCUCAUCUCUCCUUGAAUCAAUGGGAGAUGAGUGGUUUUCAGUCAUUGAAUUGGGCUCUUAUUUCUACAGAGCUGCUUAAACCAGACCCUUGUGAACAAUAUAGACUUAUGCUGAUAGCUGGUAGGGUCAAAUGGGAUGGUUUUCAAAUAGCAGUUAGAAACUUGUACAAGAAGGGGACUGGCACUAAAGAAAAGCAAAGCCACUUAACAUCCUGCAAGGAGAAGUACUGGUGUUUCAGAUUGAUAAGAGCCCUUGUUCUUCUAUUCCUGUUUCCUUCCAUCCUGUGUAGCACUGACUUUGAUUAUAAUAAUUUGCAUGUCUGCCUAAGCCCAUGCUAUCUUCUUAAACUGCUUGUGGGAUGGGGUGACCUAAGCUACCUGUAUGUUCCUGAAAAUUAUGAAAAUGAUUCUUAUUUUGAUCUCUCUUUUUUGUUGCCUGAAGGUAGAUUUGGAGGGCAAUCCCUUGGAGAUAUUAACAGUCUUACGUCUUCCUGCAUGAAGAAAGAUAAAAAGCUACCAAGAAACAUCACUAAUUUGAAAGUGGAAAAAUUCAGAAGCAUGUGCCACUCUGCUAUUAGUAUUUUUCCAAACAGAAUUCUAAGUAAAUGCAUAAAAGGUCCUUGGAAGAAAAGGAAAAGGAAAAAAAAAAAAAAAAACAACAACAACAAAAAAACAACAGCAGGAUAUCUAACAGUCACUGACUAUUUAAAUCCAUGAGGAAAAGACUAUGUGUGUCACCAAGACAGUCACAGCAUUGUGCAAGUGUGAACAAAUAUGUAUGCAUAAUGUAGGAGCUCUUUGGAAAGAAGAAAUUAAAAUAAGACAAAUUUGGGGGCAAUAGAACUGAAAACAUUGGAAGAAAAAAUGUCAUGAUCUCAAAAAAAGCAUUGAUCUCCCUAUUAAAAUAGCAGUUUCAUUAAAGGCCUUGUAUUUUAUGUAUAUGUUAGAGGUGAUACUUUGGUUUUAAUUAUGUAAUGUACAAUAUAUAGUGCUAGUGCUAUAAACUCCUUAGUCUAGACUUAAAAUGCAGAAUCUUUACAUCCUCUGUAGCUUUCAGGUUACUUGCCUAAGUCAGUGGUGGCUGUUAGGCACAGUCAGCAUUGUGAGUUGCUCUUCUGUUUCAUAAAACAAAAGUAUGAAUUCUUUGUGUGAACAUGUUAUCUGGCACAGAACUGAACAAAUAUGACAGUUUGAUUAGAUAGCAGCGCAUAUAACCAGGCUACUGUGGAGAAACUUGUUCUGCUACCUGUAAUAAAGUUUUAAACUGUUUUUUAGACA
rnacentral:lncRNA from 1 species